CCUGAUUAGUGGCGAACGGGUGAGUAACACGUGAGUAACCUGCCCCCCACUUCGGGAUAACCUCGGGAAAUCGUGGCUAAUACCGGAUAUGAGCACUCAUCGCAUGGUGGGUGCUGGAAAGAUUUAUCGGUGGGGGAUGGACUCGCGGCCUAUCAGUUUGUUGGUGAGGUGAUGGCUCACCAAGACGAUGACGGGUAGCCGGCCUGAGAGGGCGACCGGCCACACUGGGACUGAGACACGGCCCAGACUCCUACGGGAGGCAGCAGUGGGGAAUAUUGCACAAUGGGCGAAAGCCUGAUGCAGCGACGCCGCGUGGGGGAUGACGGCCUUCGGGUUGUAAACCCCUUUCAGUAGGGAAGAAGCGAGAGUGACGGUACCUGCAGAAGAAGCGCCGGCUAACUACGUGCCAGCAGCCGCGGUAAUACGUAGGGCGCAAGCGUUGUCCGGAAUUAUUGGGCGUAAAGAGCUUGUAGGUGGCUUGUCGCGUCUGCCGUGAAAACCCGAGGCUCAACCUCGGGCGUGCGGUGGGUACGGGCAGGCUAGAGUGUGGUAGGGGAGACUGGAACUCCUGGUGUAGCGGUGAAAUGCGCAGAUAUCAGGAAGAACACCGAUGGCGAAGGCAGGUCUCUGGGCCAUUACUGACACUGAGAAGCGAAAGCAUGGGUAGCGAACAGGAUUAGAUACCCUGGUAGUCCAUGCCGUAAACGUUGGGCACUAGGUGUGGGGGACAUUCCACGUUUUCCGCGCCGUAGCUAACGCA
rnacentral:rRNA from 1 species